AGAGAUAUAACUCAGUGGUAGAGUGUCACCUUGACGUGGUGAUGGUCAUUGGUUCGACGAUGAGCACUUCUA
rnacentral:tRNA from 1 species